rnacentral:tRNA from 1 species
GCCCGGAUAGCUCAGUCGGCAGAGCAGAGGAUUGAAAAUCCUCGUGUCGGUGGUUCGAUUCCGCCUCCGGGCACCA